rnacentral:rRNA from 1 species
CGCUAUCACUCCUACGGGAGCAGCAGUAGGGAAUAUGGUCAAUGGCGAAAGCCUGAACCAGCCAUGCCGCGUGUCAGAUGAAGGUCCUCUGGAUUGUAAAUGACUUUUCUACGGGAAGAAUGAGCCGUCUGCGGACGGAAGUUGACGGUACCGUAGGAAUAAGCACCGGCUAACUACGUGCCAGCAGCCGCGGUAAUACGUAGGGUGCAAGCGUUGUCCGGAUUUACUGGGUUUAAAGGGUACGUAGGCGGUUGUGCCAAGUCUGGGGUGAAAGUUUGCAGCUCAACUGUAAAAAUUGCCUUGGAUACUGGUCGGCUAGAGUAGUGGAGCGGUGGCUGGAAUUUAUAGUGUAGCGGUGAAAUGCUUAGAUACUAUGAGGAACACCAAUUGCGAAGGCAGGUCACUGGUCACUAACUGACGCUGAGGUACGAAAGUGUGGGGAUCAAACAGGAUUAGAUACCCUGGUAG